CUCCUUUUCACUUCGUGUGUGUAUG
rnacentral:miRNA from 1 species